GAAUAUUCCACCAUCUUCCUUUCCCUUCCUUCACAUCUCCCGAACACGUUGUUUCUCUCUCUCAACAAAACCCUAAUUACAUAAAAUCCCUCCAAAAUCUUACAAUUGAAUUAAACCUAAACCCAAAAAAACUUCAGUCGACCACUCGCAUUAACGUCGUCAACGAACAGAAGAUGGAGUACGAGACGGAGAACGGCCAAGGGCUUGAGAACAACAGCGGAAGCGAUGGAACUGAAGGUUUGAGAUGCAUACGAUGUGGAAUUAGUGCCAAGUCCACUCCCCAUAUGCGUCGUGGCCCGGAGGGACGUAGGACUUUGUGUAAUGCAUGUGGAAUUGCAUGGAGAAAGGGAAAACUGAGAAAAAUAAUUGAGUUCAAUGCUUCAAAGGAAGAGGUUGGAUGUUCAAACGUGGCACCAGAAGUAGGCAUGGAAUUUGAAAACGAAGACAAUGCAUAUGAAUUCUACAACAAGUAUGCUGGAGCAGUUGGUUUUAGUGUACGAAAGAGCUGGACGGGUAAAACAGCUGGAAAUGUAACUAGAUCAAGAAUAUUUGUUUGCUCCAGAGAAGGCUUUCGCCAUGACAAAAAAGGAGCAAAGGAAGUGAAGAAACCAAGAGCGGAAACAAGAAUAGGAUGCCCCGCACGUCUCGUCAUUAAACUUACAAAGACCGGUACAUAUCGAGUGGCUGAAUUUCUUCCUGAUCACAACCAUCAGCCUGCACCUUCUUCAGCAACACACUUGUUAAGGUCCCAAAGGAUAUUAACUGAGUUUGAUACUCCUGAAGGGGGGUUAUCUGAUAAUCUUGGAACACCGGAGGCGAUGAAUGAAUCUUCAAGCCGGAAAUUGGGAGGUUUUCAAAAUGUCAACUUCCUUCCUAUUGAUUAUAAAGUUUCUAUUCAAGCAAAACGAAUGAAGGACAUGCAUCCGGGAGAUGCUGAAGCUGUGUUAAAAUACAUGCAAAGUAUGCAGCUUAAUAAUAAGUCUUUCUUUUAUGCCGUACAGGUAGAUGAAGAUGACAAGAUGACCAAUAUUUUCUGGGCAGAUGCUAAGUCAAUGAAAGACUUUGGCUACUUUGGUGAUGUGGUAUGUUUGGAUGGAACUUAUAAAGUAAAUGGAUAUGGUAGGCCAUUUGCACCAUUUAUCGGUGUGAAUCAUCACAAGAAACCUGUUAUUUUGGGUGCUGCAUUGCUAUAUGAUGAGACUGUAGAAACCUUUAAAUGGUUGUUUAACACUUUCAAGAUUGCCAUGAGCAGAAAACAACCAAAGACAAUCCUGACAGACCAGUCUGCAGCAUUGACAGAAGCACUGGCUGCCGUGUGGCCAGGCACAAGUCACCGUCAUUGUGUGUGGCAAGUUUAUCAAAAUUCUAUCAAAGAACUUAAUCACAUCUUCCAAAGUUCAAAAAUUUUUACGAAGGAUUUUAGCAGAUGUCUAUUUGAGUGUCAGGAUGAGAACGAGUUUCUAAUUUCAUGGAGGACAAUGUUAAAUAAGUAUGAUCUUGUAAACAAUGAAUGGUUGGCGAAGCUAUUUGAAGAUAGGGAGAACUGGGCUUCUGCAUAUGGGCGACAAACAUUUUGUGCCGACAUGAAAAACACGUUACAAAGUCAAAGCUUGUGUGUUGAACUAAAGAAGUACUUGAGUCUACAACUAGAUCUCUUGUCCUUCUUUAAUCAUUAUGAAAGGAUGUUAAAUGAGCAUCGAUAUGCAGAACUACAAGCAGAUUUCCAUGCCACUCAAAGUUUCCCCAGAAUACCUCCUUCAAAAAUGUUGAGGCAAGCCGCCAAUAUGUAUACACCUACAGUAUUCGAAAUAUUCCGGAAAGAGUUUGACAUAUUCUUGGAUUGUAUGUUGUAUAGUUGUGGUGAGAUUGGGACGAUUAGUGAAUACAAAAUUAGUGUUGGAGAGAAUCUUAAAGAACAACACUAUGUUACAUUUGAUUCCUCUGAUGUAUCCAUUGCUUGCAGUUGCAAAAAGUUUGAGUUUAUGGGAGUUCAAUGUGGCCAUGUAAUCAAAGUACUUGAUGUUAGAAACAUCAAAGAACUUCCAGAACGGUAUUUUUUGCAGAGGUGGAGAAUGGAUGCCAAGUCUGAGAUAGGAUCUUCAACUGAUGGUUCCCUCAAGUCUAGUGCACCUGCGUCAGUGCACAUUCCAGUUGCUUUGCAUGUUCAGUGCAAGGGUUUCAUAGCAUGACUCAGCUUUGUCAGAAUUACUUUGACUCCAGAUAUGCGCGCGUCACCAACCGUCGGAACUUCUUAAUUAUGCUAAUCCAGAGACUGCAUAUCAGGGUGAGGCACUGUCUAUGCUUGGUGCGUGGAUGAAAAAUCCCUUUGGAGUGAUUCAGUACAGAUGGGAAGAAUCAGAAUCAAACCCUAGACCAUACACUUGAAAGAGCUUUUAUUUCGGAGCGCUGAUGUGUCACUUCACAAUGUUCUUAUUAUAUUGAGCUGAUAUAUUGCCUCAAAAUGUUCACUUCUCAUUUUCUCAGGGCUGAUGCCCAUGUCAGAAACUAUACCAUGGAGAGAGCCCUUCGAGUUGUUUCUGCUCUGAGAUGAAAUUGAUAGGCAUAUGUAAAUACUGUAAAUUUUUUGUUGAAUAUAUAUGCGCACAAAAAAUAGAAGUGACAUCUUUUGCUCGACUUGAGUUUUUCCGCCAGUGAGGCUUGGCUCAUUAAUAAAGCUGGGUUAUGGCCUUUGUUUGGAAAA